rnacentral:lncRNA from 1 species
ACUUUGGUUCGGAUUCGGUCGAGUUUCGGUUCUUUGGAGACAUGAUUUAUUUCUGUUCGGAUAUUCUUAAAGUUCAGAUUUUGGUUUAUUUAUGUUGGAUUCGAUUUUGUUCAAAUUCAAUUUUUGGAUUGUUUUGGUUUUAAUUUUCGGAUUGGAUUCGAUUCAGAUUUUCAUAUUCGAUUUGAUUUUUUGGAUUUUUUUUGAAUAUUGGCUAAAUAACCAGAGUCUGUGGUGAUUUAGAAAAUAUU